UGAAGUGUGGCUCAGCACUAGAGACUCUGCUUCACAUGCAGAAGGUUCCCGGUUCGAAUCCCGGCAUCUCCA
rnacentral:tRNA from 1 species